rnacentral:sRNA from 1 species
GGGUUACUCCUUGGCGCUUGCGCGCUGUUUUGAUGAAGAUUCGCACCUCUAUCAAAACGGGUAACCCCGCCUCUUGGCAAGGCCUUACUGUCAGAUCAAGUCUGAACUUCUACAGCUCAUGGCCGCAGCAUAGUCUCUACUUCUGACCCGCGUCGCCCUAGUCAAAUCUCCGAAUCCAGCGCAGCGUCUCUUCUUUCUUAUCAAGAUUGUCCGGCACACGGAACAGUCUGCUGGAAUAUGCUU